UGCAGUCGAGCGGUGAGGGAGCUUGCUCCUGGAUUCAGCGGCGGACGGGUGAGUAAUGCCUAGGAAUCUGCCUGGUAGUGGGGGAUAACGUCCGGAAACGGGCGCUAAUACCGCAUACGUCCUGAGGGAGAAAGUGGGGGAUCUUCGGACCUCACGCUAUCAGAUGAGCCUAGGUCGGAUUAGCUAGUUGGUGGGGUAAAGGCCUACCAAGGCGACGAUCCGUAACUGGUCUGAGAGGAUGAUCAGUCACACUGGAACUGAGACACGGUCCAGACUCCUACGGGAGGCAGCAGUGCGGAAUAUUGGACAUGGGCGAAAGCCUGAUCCAGCCAUGCCGCGUGUGUGAAGAAGUCUUCGGAUUGUAAAGCACUUUAGUUGGGAGGAGGUCAGUAAGUUAAUUACUGCUGUUUUGACGUACCAACAGAAUAAGCACCGGCUACUCGUGCAGCAGCGCGUAAUACGAAUGGUGCAAGCGUUAUCGGAAUACUGGGCGUAAGCGCGCGUAGG
rnacentral:rRNA from 1 species